UUCUUUGUUUUUAUUCCCUGUCAGAGAGUAUAUUGAUUUUAGGUGGACAUUUGCGACCAUAUAAAAUAUAUAUAUUCCUGAUAAAGAAUAUUUAAUAUAUCU
ensembl:ncRNA mir-4974 mir-4974 stem loop